GUCUGAUGGUGCUUUCUUCUGGUAACCCUUCCAAAGUGCCUGUGGAGUCUGAUGGUGCUUUCUUCUGCAACCCUUCCAAAGAGCCUGUGGUUGUGGAGGUGGCGUCUGAUGGUGCUUUCUUCUGGUAACCCUUCCAAAGAGCCUGUGGUUGUGGAGGUGGCGUCUGAUGGUGCUUUCUUCUGGUAACCCUUCCAAAGAGCCUGUGGUUGUGGAGGUGGAGUCUGACGGUGCUUUUUGAAACCUGGUGACCCCAAGAUGCCACCAAGGCCUGCACUUCUUUGACCGUUAUUAUUGGGGAUUUGUUUGCUUCUCUCCCCAUCCUCCUCCAUAUCCCCAGGGGGGGAAAAAUGCAUUUGCAUCCUCUAACCGUGAGGUUUAACUGUUCCAUAUCUUUAGAGGUUGUUUUAUAAUUGCCCUGACAGUGCUCAGUGAUAUAUGAAGGUCUUUGACCAGCUGUCUCUUUUGAACUGACAGUUAUUUUGUUGACAGCGGGAUAUUGCAUGCGUGUUUCCUCAUGUUUAUACCCUAGUGAAACAGGAAGUGAUGUAAUGGCUCAAUAUAGUUAUUUAAGACUUAGGUACGCGUAAA
ensembl:lncRNA